GGUUCAAAACAACUUAUGAAACCCGCACCAUUGCCAGAAUCCUCAAAUCGGCUCACGCUGCCAGAAAACUAAGAGAUUCUUCAGGAAAGAGCAUUACCUCCUCAACAUGCCAGCCCAAUUGCUCGGAGGCAAUUUAAAGAAAAGCAUGCACUUCCCUUCUCCCCAAAUGUUCAGAUCGCCUGAACUUGAAAACCAGCAACAAUGACCAUCCCACCUCAAGGAACCACAAGCAACAAUUUUAAAAAGCAGACUUUCCUGGGGGUGGAAGUCACUGUCUUCCUUCCUUAAAAGAAAAAAAACUUUUAUCAUUUGUUUUAACAAUAUGUCCUGCGCAACACAACCCUGGAAUAGGCCUACAUUAGUUCUGUUCACAACGCUAACUUGUUAUAUCUGCCUCAAUAAUUAUAUACAAUAUAUAUACACACAGAGAGACAUUUGGAACGGGACUUAUGCAGCAAGCGAGCUGUUCUGUAUUGCUUUCUUUAAUAAAGUUCUGCCACAAAAGUUUUGGCAAUAA